UCUUAUGUUAAAUUUCUAGUUUCUCGAUUAUAUUAGUCUCCCUCUCUCUCCACAAGCCCACUGCUCACAGCCUCUCGCUCUCCCUCUCUCUCGUCACAACCCCUCUCUUUCCUCAGCCUUUGCCACUCGCUGCCAUCGUCCUCUGCCGCUCGAUGCCACCAUUCUCCAAGUGUCUUCCUCUCCACUCUUCUUUUUGUCCUAGCCAUUCUCUGGAAGAUUGUAGAGAAGAUUUUGAUGGUCAAUACUUAUGGCUACUAUGCUUCUCCUUCUUCUAUUAGGUACAGAUGGAGUGGGGAUGUGAUUGUUUAGGUAUGUUUUUGAAACUGAAAUGGAAGAGAGCUGGGGAAGUUCUAGUGGAGUUGAAAACUGGUAACUAGGAUUGUUUUCAUGUUUUAACGGAACAAAAUGGGGGAGUAUUAGUAUAUUGUUGCCUCAAUGAAAAAUGACUUCUAGUUGAUGUGGCCUGCUAUCAAAACUGAGGAUGAUAAGUGGAAUAGAUGUCAAACUUAUCUACCUUCCUUUUAAUGAACAAGCCUAUUAUUCAUCUUUUCAACUCUUGCAAACUUGCCUGGGAGCAGUGUGGUUUGUGUUCUCUUGUAUAUAUUUAGAAAAUUUGGUUAGGAAAUUACAUCUCUGCUACCAAUGUUCUAAUGUAUUGUUGUUAUAACUUGGCUAUGAUGCUGCGGACACUCAAAGACUAGCUCUCUUUAUUUAAA